AUUGAACGCUGGCGGCAGGCCUAACACAUGCAAGUCGAACGGCAGCACAGAAGAGCUUGCUCUUUGGGUGGCGAGUGGCGGACGGGUGAGUAAUGUCUGGGAAACUGCCCGAUGGAGGGGGAUAACUACUGGAAACGGUAGCUAAUACCGCAUAACGUCGCAAGACCAAAGUGGGGGACCUUCGGGCCUCACACCAUCGGAUGUGCCCAGAUGGGAUUAGCUAGUAGGUGGGGUAAUGGCUCACCUAGGCGACGAUCCCUAGCUGGUCUGAGGGGAUGAGCGGCCACCCUGGAACUGGGACACGGUCCAGACUCCUACGGGAGGCAGCAGUGGGGAAUAUUGCACAAUGGGCGAAAGCCUGAUGCAGCCAUGCCGCGUGUAUGAAGAAGGCCUUCGGGUUGUAAAGUACUUUCAGCGGGGAGGAAGGCGGUGAGGUUAAUAACCUCGCCGAUUGACGUUACCCGCAGAAGAAGCACCGGCUAACUCCGUGCCAGCAGCCGCCGUAA
rnacentral:rRNA from 1 species